rnacentral:sRNA from 1 species
GUAUUUUUAAAAAUAUCAUAGAAAAUUUCAAAUGAA